GCAGACUGUUGUUCUGACCCAGUACAACUUUUAUGGUAGGUCAGGAUGCUUGAGCUUCCUCCAGGGCUGGGAUUGGAGCUUCAGUUACUCCAAGGGCACUUUUUUCCUAUGAGCUGUCUCUGAUUCCCAUGCUGCAUAAUGAAGUUCACGAUGCAUGGGGAUGAGCACUUCCACACUGUGUAAUCUUUGGCCUAGGUCUCCUCUGAUCCCCAUGUAGUGCUCACUGGCUCUGAGACAUCAUCAGUAAUUGCUGGGGUUUGAACAGUCCCAGAUUCCUAUGAUCUCAAAGAGGUAUGGGAGCCCAGGCAUGAUCUGACCCAUGUACAGUGGUCUGACAACUAGAAGAGGCUGAAAUUAUCUCCUCUGAACAAGAGUCCAUGUGCAGAAAGAUGUAUCUGUGGUGUUGAAGGAUAGUGAGGAAGUGGGACCAGGGAGCAAGACAGGAAUAAAAUCUGUGAGACGGUGUAGGCAUACCUAGAGGGAGCACAGCAGUGCCCCAGUACCCUCCAAACAUGUUUGUUGGAGCCCUCCUUCCUGUACAUCCCAGCUAUUCCUCUUGCCUCCCUGACGAGCAUUGCCCCAGACUGCUUGGCCAAGUAAGUCUGAGGAGACCUCAGUUUCCUUGGAGGGGUCUAUUUUGAGACCUGAAACUUAUUUUGAUGUAGGGCCUAAGAUUUAGACCGACCUAGAUGGUAUCCAGGAAGAAGAGCCACCACCUGUCAGGAGGGAAACUCCCUCUUCUGUUGGGUCAUGUUUGGGUUACCUGUUUCAUUCCCCUUAAACCCUCUCUAGAGCCGUAUGGCAGAUGUUAAUGACUUCCUUGGGAUUUAGAUGAUGACUGUCAUGAUGAGGGACCCUGGCCUAUGCAGAUGCCAGCUGUCACAUUGAAGCAUGGUGGUGUCAGCCUUUGGAUAUUUUUGCUGAGGAGAGCAGGGCUUGCCUGUCUGUGUAACACAGAAGACCAGCUGGCCUCACAUAUUUCACACAAUUCUCUUUGCCCUGGAGAAAGGCCAUGAACUAUCAAGGACUUGACUGCUGCUAUCGGAUGGGUCUGACUCUCCCUGGGCCCUUCUGGGAGCUGAUAAUCCUCCCAUCCCAACAACACCUUUCUCUAGUCCUCUUCUCCCCUCUCCUAGUAACAGUGGUAGCCCUACUAUGUUCAUGUCUCUUUCAGCCUCCUCCUUUCUUUCCCACCACAUACUGGCCAUCCCCACCUGCACUGAGCCCAGCUUCCCUUGCUGCCUGCCCCAGUCUCUCUGCAGCUCAUCAUCACCAGCGUGUCCUGACAGGUUGGCAAAAUUUGCAAAAUGAAAAUGUCUUCUACCACAUUUUUCAGUUUUUCCACCAAAAUUUGACAGAGCCAAGAGCCUGAAGAUGCUUCUGCUGUCCUGCACAUGCUCAGUGACCUGAAGGGGAUCUAGACAAGUCUCUCCUUAGCAGUUCCCAAGCUAUUCUUUCUCUCAUGCCUUGCUGCUCCCAGAAGAAAGGGCAGCUCUUGGAGGACACUAGUCCUGAGAAAGCCUGUUGGAUCACCACAGCCCACUUGACUUCUCCAAUCCCAAAUUCUUCUGCUUUUAACAUAGGCAGUAGGCUGGCAGCUGGCACUUGUGAGGGCUGAGGAGGGAUUGUUUUCAGGCUGAGACAUGUGAGAAAAGAAGAGGCUGAUAAUACAGAUGGAACAGAAGAAAAUGUCAAGUGAUUAAACAGCUGUACAUGAAUGCAGAUGCAGCUUAAGAGAUUGACUGUCGCCUGCUGGAUAGAGAGAUGGAAAGAAAAAUUGCAUUCACCUGCAUCAGGAUUGCAAAUCCCACCCCUCUGCCUGCAUAUUUUAAAUUGCAUUUGUUACUUCUUUUUAGCCUUCCCAUAUGUAAACUUUCACAGAGCUCUGUACUGCACCUUUAUAGCCCUAGCUGCAAUUUUUACUUCCCAGAGUCUCUGGUCUGUUUUUUGGGGGGGGAAGAAAUCUUAUAAAAUAAAACGUAUGCAGUCAAAUGAGCUGUUUG